AACGCACCUUGCGCUCUUUGGUAUUCCGAAGAGCAUGCCUGUUUGAGUGUCAUGAAAAUAUCAACCUUGACUUGGGUUUAGUGCUCUUGUCUUGGCUUGGAUUUGGCUGUUUGCCGCUCGAAAGAGUCGGCUCAGCUUAAAAGUAUUAGCUGGAUCUGUCUUUGAGACUUGGUUUGACUUGGCGUAAUAAGUUAUUUCGCUGAGGACAAUCUUCGGAUUGGCCGAGUUUCUGGGACGUUUGUCCGCUUUCUAACACAAGUUCUAGCUUGCUAGACAUGACUUUUUUAUUAUCUGGCCUCAAAUCAGGUAGGACUACCCGCUGAACUUAA
rnacentral:misc_RNA from 1 species